rnacentral:lncRNA from 1 species
UCUUGACCCGCUAAUCUUGACAACGACAGUUGGCGCGCCAGGUAGGGGACCUUUGCACGUACAUCACCGGCUUCAGAUGGGCCAGUCGCGACGCCAGCUUCGCUCCUAGCUCCCUCGUCCGCUUCGGGAGUCUGGACUUCCUCGCCAUCAGGGACGGGAUCAAGCCGAUCCCUCUCCUUGUCUUGCCCGCUCGCCCCAUCAUCUCUAGCUCCGCCGCCAGGGUAGUAGCGAGCGGCCGGGCGCGCGCCGAGGGGCCUCCUUCGGAGGAGUGGCCCUUCGGGCUGCGCAAUGCCGCGGCGACCUACGGUCAUC